rnacentral:rRNA from 1 species
UACGUAGGGUGCAAGCGUUGUCCGGAAUUAUUGGGCGUAAAGAGCUCGUAGGCGGCUCGUCGCGUCGACCGUGAAAACCCGCAGCUUAACUGCGGGCUUGCGGUUGAUACGGGCGGGCUAGAGUUCGGUAGGGGAGACUGGAAUUCCUGGUGUAGCGGUGAAAUGCGCAGAUAUCAGGAGGAACACCGGUGGCGAAGGCGGGUCUCUGGGCCGAUACUGACGCUGAGGAGCGAAAGCGUGGGGAGCAAACAGG